rnacentral:tRNA from 1 species
GCCCGGGUGGCGGAAUGGUAGACGCGCUCGACUCAAACUCGAGUGGCCGAAAGGCCGUAGGGGUUCGAAUCCCCUGCCGGGUA